UAUGCAUGUACGAUAAUAAAACAUUUGAGGGAUGUUCGUUCCAUGAUUGUAAUACCAAACGCAAUAGUGUGGUUUUGUGCGUGCAGAUGAACCAAGAUAAAGCUGGGAAAACAUCAUCGCUUAUAACUGAUAUUUUUCAACCAACCACCUCUGUCUUUAGUCCUAAAACCCACAAAACAUCCAUGAAUUCAACGGUAUCGUCAAGAAUUGUAGCAACAGAUCUAGAAGCAGCAACAUUGACAAUCACAAGAACAACAGAAAAAAUACAUGUCGGAAAAGAAAAAACAAAUAGGAAUGGAAAAAUGGUAAUUGUAUCCAUCGUCGUUGCUGUUGUUGCUGGAGGUGUUUCCUUUGCUCUGCUUUUGUCUUACUU